AGCAGCCGCGGUAAUUCCAGCUCCAAUAGCGUAUAUUAAAGUUGUUGCAGUUAAAAAGCUCGUAGUUGAAUUUCGGGGCCAGUAGGUUGGUCGUGCCACUGGUAUGCACUGGCCUUACUGGUCCCUCCUUCUUGUAGAACCGUGAUGCUAUUAAUUUGGUGUUGCGGGGAAACAGGACUGUUACUUUGAAAAAUUAGAGUGCUUAAAGCAGGCUCGCGCUUGAAUACAUUAGCAUAGAAUAACGGAAUAGGACGAUCGAACCUAUUUUGUUGGUUUCUAGGAUCGACGUAAUGAUUAAUAGGGAUAGUUGGGGGCAUUAGUAUUCAAUUGUCAGAGGUGAAAUUCUUGGAUUUAUUGAAGACUAACUACUGCGAAAGCAUUUGCCAAGGAUGUUUUCAUUAAUCAAGAACGAAAGUUAGGGGAUCGAAGACGAUCAGAUACCGUCGUAGUCUUAACCAUAAACUAUGCCGACUAGGGAUCGGAUAAAGU
rnacentral:rRNA from 1 species